UAAAAAAACAAACAAAAAACAACUAGGUCAGAUCAACCCAAAGGAUGUAUCUAUUUGAUUCGAGUUCACGGAAUGUUGUAUUGACACGUUCGUAUUGAAAUUGUUUUGGCAAAUACUGCAUCAUUAUUUCUCUAAACUUCAUUUAUCGAUCAAUGGGUGGAACCGAAAGUGUUAAUAGCCAUAAUUGUGACCAACUGAAAUAUCUAUGUCGAGGUGAACUCAUCAAAGUUGUCAAGUUGAAUGAGAAUAAGUAUUACAUUUACAGUGGAAACAAAGGGAAACUCUACCCACUUAAUGACAGAACUAAAGAUUAUUUUUCAUAUCCUGAAACUCCUGGAGAAAUUGCAACUGUAACAUUUGCUGAGGCUUGCGGGGAUUCCUAUUGUUACAAAAUUACUGUUGAGAAAUGGAUUGAUGAAAUCGGGGCAAAUGUCUCUAUUGACUAUUAUAAUAAAAAAGUACUGUAGACACUAUUGCCUGGGGAUAUAGUAAAAUUUAGGAAGCAUCAUGCUUUGUAUAUAGGUAACGAAAGAGUCAUACAUCUGGUUGAUCUGAAAUCAAGAUAUGGUGAACUGACAGAUAGACGAAGAGAAGAGCUUCAAGAAUUCCCCAAUGCCCAGGCACUCGUCACAACGGACAAAAUCAAAAAACUUUCCCAAAAUAUAUCUUCAUGGUUAUGAUGCUGAUGAAAUCAUCAGAAGAGCCAAGUCCCAACUUGGUCCAGCAGGAUACGAUUGGUGGUAUCAAAAUAGUAAACAUUUUGCUGAAGAAAUGAAGUAUGGGGAACAAGUGAAUCGAGUGAGGCGGAGCUAUACAAUAGGAAGUUCUCCUUAUGAAUGGAUGUCUCCACAGAGACCCAACAACGAAACGGAAACUAGAAAUGAAAACGAAAAUAACAUCUGAAAUCACAUUGAAGAAAUGAAUGAAACUUGAAUGAAAUCAAUUUAGUUGGACCGAGCUGUCAUGACAAUACAUACACACUGUAUACACUUGUUUUGUUUUUCUAAACUUUGGGAUCCUCAUUGUGUCACCAAGUCAAUCCAACUCAAAGGGUCAAUGGCAUUGCGCACCAGCGCACUAUUCAGCACGGGAUACGAACAUAUUGUUUGACGAACAUGAAGAGCCAGCGCACUAUUCAGCACGGGAUACGAACAUAUUGUUUGACGAACAUGAAGAGCCAGCGCACUAUUCAGCACGGGAUACGAACAUAUUGUUUGACGAACAUGAAGAGGCAGUUGUUUUUGUCUAAGGUGAAAGGAAAGAGACAGAACUGUGAAUUCUGAUCAUUGGAUUGACUGUAUUUGCCUAAUUCAGUUACUUAGUUAUCAAACGUCUGUAAUUGUUCAUUCCUUUCAUUGAGUGAUGGCCUUAGAUUUAUACAAUUUAUUUUGUCUGUCGUAUACAGUUACAUUAAUGCAUAGAUUUUGAAUAUUUAUAGUUUGAAUAAUACAGCCAACAGUGUAUGUUUAUUGUAUGUAGAUCAUGUCUUCAACUUCUCUUAUAAAAGUAUUGUAGAAGCUAAUUAUUAGUUAGUAUUUUAGCAAUAUUUCUUAAUAAAAUGAUUUUUUUUUAUGAACAGAAGUCUAAAAUAAAAUACUGUUGAGUAAAGCCAUUUUUAGAGACACCGUAAGGUUAAAAGUCGCUAUUAAUUUUGUGUUGUCUGUCUGUCACACUCCGAUCUCAAAACCAGAAGAGCUAUGUAUUUCAUGGUUUGUGGCUUGUAAAGUUUAGGUACAAGGUCUACUUUUUGUUUUUAAAAGUGUGGUGAGAACCACUGCUUUAUAAACAUUGAUUUUUGUUGCUAAGUGAAGAGACCUAAUCUGACAUACUCUCAGUCUGAGGCGACCAAAAUGUUAACUGAAUACUGUUAUUUUUUUUAUGCUUCCCAUUUACUCAUGACGGCUUCAGUUAGUUCUUAAUGUAUUGGUCUAGUCACUCUAGUGUUUUAAAUGUACAACAUUGUUUUUAAAGAUUUCUCAGUGAAAUUACAAGAGGAAAGUUUCGCAAAAAUAUCCAGAUGGCCACGACAACGACAACUUGACGUUGGACCAGCCUGAGUCCGUCAACAUAUUUGACUGAACUAUAUAAAUGAUUAACAAAUUUAAACUUUCAAAGUCAAAGCGAACAAGGUUACA
rnacentral:sRNA from 1 species